rnacentral:lncRNA from 1 species
AAAAGGGACAUGUAACUGGCCUUCGUAUAAAGAAAGAAGUCACAUGAAAAGAGCAAUUCUGGAACACAGAGAACCAGAUACAUCCUGAGAGAAUUUUUAUAUUGUUAUCCUGGGAGAAUAUUGUGCUUUCAAAGAAAAUCGGGCCACCAGAGAGGUACCUUGCAAUAUUAUUGAAAAUAUUAUAAAAGACUGGUUGAAAAGUGUUUCAUUUAGAGAAAAGUAUCAUAAACAAAAAGGAAAAUGUACAACAGAAGGAAGUUUGUAAACAAUGGAAUAAAAAAUUUGUGUAUUAGCUUGUACGAAAAUACUGUAAUUAAAGUUAUUAAUUGUUCA